UGCCGCGUGCAGGAUGAAGGCCUUCGGGUUGUAAACUGCUUUUGUACGGAACGAAACGGCCUUUUCUAAUAAAGAGGGCUAAUGACGGUACCGUAAGAAUAAGCACCGGCUAACUACGUGCCAGCAGCCGCGGUAAUACGUAGGGUGCAAGCGUUAAUCGGAAUUACUGGGCGUAAAGCGUGCGCAGGCGGUUAUGUAAGACAGUUGUGAAAUCCCCGGGCUCAACCUGGGAACUGCAUCUGUGACUGCAUAGCUAGAGUACGGUAGAGGGGGAUGGAAUUCCGCGUGUAGCAGUGAAAUGCGUAGAUAUGCGGAGGAACACCGAUGGCGAAGGCAAUCCCCUGGACCUGUACUGACGCUCAUGCACGAAAGCGUGGGGAGCAAACAGGAUUAGAUACCCUGGUAGUCCACGCCCUAAACGAUGUCAACUGGUUGUUGGGUCUUCACUGACUCAGUAACGAAGCUAACGCGUGAAGUUGACCGCCUGGGGAGUACGGCCGCAAGGUUGAAACUCA
rnacentral:rRNA from 1 species